rnacentral:rRNA from 1 species
UACGGGGGGGGCAAGCGUUGUUCGGAAUUACUGGGCGUAAAGCGUGCGCAGGCGGUUUGCUAAGACAGGUGUGAAAUCCCCGGGCUUAACCUGGGAACUGCGCUUGUUACUGGCAGGCUUGAGUGUGGCAGAGGGGGGUGGAAUUCCACGUGUAGCAGUGAAAUGCGUAGAGAUGUGGAGGAACACCGAUGGCGAAGGCAGCCCCCUGGGCUAACACUGACGCUCAUGCACGAAAGCGUGGGGAGCAAACAGG